rnacentral:piRNA from 1 species
UAUUGAGGGGAAGCAUUCUGGAACUU